GAGCCGAUUAAGGCGAAGUCACUGAUCCUAUGCUGCCAAGAAAAGCCCAACAGUGAGUUGGCACGGCACCCGUACCCCAAACCGACACAGGUGGGCGGGUAGAGAAUACCAAGGCGAUCGGGAGAACUAUGGUUAAGGAACUCGGCAAAUUACAUCCGUAACUUCGGGAGAAGGAUGACCCUAUUAGGGUGACGGGAUUUACUCCCCGAGCUCGAGAGGGUGGCACAAACCAGGGGGCAGCGACUGUUUACCAAAAACACAGCAGCGUGCGAAGCCGCAAGGCGCUGUAUACGCUGUGACGCCUGCCCAAUGCUGGAAGGUCACGGGGAACGGUUAGUCGAAAGGCGAAGCUGUGAACCUAAGCCCCAGUGAAUGGCGGCGGUAACUAUAACCGUCCUAAGGUAGCGAAAUUCCUUGUCAGGUAAGUUCUGACCUGCACGAAUGGCGUAACGACUUCCCCACUGUCUCAACCAUAGACCCGGCGAAAUUGAAGUACGAGUAAAGAUGCUCGUUAGCUGCGGAAGGACGGAGAGACCCCAUGGACCUUUACUAUAACUUGAUAUUGAGCUUUGUCCUGCAUUGUGUAGGAUAGGUGGGAGACAUGGAAGCAGUGGCGCCAGCCAUUGUGGAGUCAACGUUGAAAUACCACCCUGUGUAUGACGGGGCUCUAACCUGGGUCCAUUAUCUGGAUCAGGGACAGUGUCAGGCGGGUAGUUUGACUGGGGCGGUCGCCUCCUAAAAUGUAACGGAGGCGCCCAAAGGUUCCCUCAGGCUGGUUGGCAAUCAGCCGUCGAGUGCAAUGACACAAGGGAGCUUGACUGCGAUACUGACAGGUCAAGCAGGUGCGAAAGCAGGGCAUAGUGACCCGGCCAUCACGUGUGGAGGUGUGGUCGCUCAACGGAUAAAAGGUACCCUGGGGAUAACAGGCUAAUCUCCCCCAAGAGUCCAUAUCGACGGGGAGGUUUGGCACCUCGAUGUCGGCUCAUCGCAUCCUGGGGCUGAAGCAGGUCCCAAGGGUUGGGCUGUUCGCCCAUUAAAGCGGUACGCGAGCUGGGUUCAGAACGUCGUGAGACAGUUCGGUCCCUAUUCUCCGUAGCCGAAGGUGUAUUGAGAAAGGCUGUCCCUAGUACGAGAGGACCGGGACGGACGGAGCUCUGGUGUGUCUGUUGUCCUGCCAAGGGCAUGGCAGAUUAGCCACCUCCGGAAGGGAUAACUGCUGAAAGCAUCUAAGUAGGAAACCCGUUCCAAGAUGAGUACACCCAUGCGGUUAACGCAGUAAGGCCCGUGGCAAGACCACCACGUUGAUAGGCCGGAGGUGUAAGCACGGUAACGUGUGUAGCCGACCGGUACUAAUCGGCCGAGGGCUUGGCU
rnacentral:rRNA from 1 species